AAACUCAAUGAAUUGACGGGGCCCGCACAAGCGGUGGAGCAUGUGGUUUAAUUCGACGCAACGCGAAGAACCUUACCAGGGCUUGACAUCCCCUGACCGCGUAUGAAAGUACGUUUUCACCCUCGGGUGACAGGGAGACAGGUGGUGCAUGGUUGUCGUCAGCUCGUGUCGUGAGAUGUUGGGUUAAGUCCCGCAACGAGCGCAACCCUUAUCCCCAGUUGCCAUCAGGUAAAGCUGGGAACUCUGGGGAGACUGCCGGUGAUAAACCGGAGGAAGGCGGGGAUGACGUCAAGUCCUCAUGGCCCUUACAUCCCGGGCUACACACGUGCUACAAUGGCAGGUACAGAGGGCUGCGAAGCCGCGAGGUGGAGCGAAUCCCAGAAAACCUGUCUCAGUCCGGAUUGAAGUCUGCAACUCGACUUCAUGAAGGCGGAAUCGCUAGUAACCGCGAAUCAGCAGGUCGCGGUGAAUACGUUCCCGGGCCUU
rnacentral:rRNA from 1 species